rnacentral:rRNA from 1 species
UCGAGAAUCUUCGGCAAUGGACGAAAGUCUGACCGAGCGACGCCGCGUGCGGGAUGAAGGCCCUCGGGUUGUAAACCGCUGUCAGUUGGAAGGAAGGACCUGUGCAGAGCAGGUCUUGACCGAUCUUCAGAGGAAGGACGGGCUAAGUUCGUGCCAGCAGCCGCGGUAAGACGAACCGUCCAAACGUUAUUCGGUAUCACUGGGCUUAAAGCGUGCGUAGGCGGCUUGGUAGGUGUGAUGUGAAAGCCCACGGCUCAACCGUGGAAUUGCGUCGCAAACCCUCAAGCUUGAGGAAGACAGGGGUGUUGGGAACUUAUGGUGGAGCGGUGAAAUGCGUUGAUAUCAUAGGGAACACCGGUGGCGAAGGCGCAACACUGGGUCUUUACUGACGCUGAGGCACGAAAGCUAGGGUAGCGAACGGGAUUAGAUACCCGCGUAGUCC